CCUUUGUUGGAAUUUUCUGGAAG
rnacentral:piRNA from 1 species